GAUGAACGCUGGCGGCGUGCCUAAUACAUGCAAGUCGAGCGAAUGGAUUAAGAGCUUGCUCUUAUGAAGUUAGCGGCGGACGGGUGAGUAACACGUGGGUAACCUGCCCAUAAGACUGGGAUAACUCCGGGAAACCGGGCUAAUACCGGAUAACAUUUUGAACCGCAUGGUUCGAAAUUGAAAGGCGGCUUCGGCUGUCACUAUGGAUGGACCCGCGUCGCAUUAGCUAGUUGGUGAGGUAACGGCUCACCAAGGCAACGAUGCGUAGCCGACCUGAGAGGGUGAUCGGCCACACUGGGACUGAGACACGGCCCAGACUCCUACGGGAGGCAGCAGUAGGGAAUCUUCCGCAAUGGACGAAAGUCUGACGGAGCAACGCCGCGUGAGUGAUGAAGGCUUUCGGGUCGUAAAACUCUGUUGUUAGGGAAGAACAAGUGCUAGUUGAAUAAGCUGGCACCUUGACGGUACCUAACCAGAAAGCCACGGCUAACUACGUGCCAGCAGCCGCCGUAA
rnacentral:rRNA from 1 species